CUGACACAUUUGAGAGGAGCCCCCUGCUUGUCCAGCAGCUCCCAAAAAACCCCAGCUGGUCUGGAUGGAGGGGAAGGACAGAGCCAGCUCCCCCAUCCCUGGGAGUGCCAAAGGCUGAACCACCAGGAGGGGCACACAGGAGCUUGUGAGCACAUAAAAGACAUUUGGAACACACAACUCUGCCCAGGAUCACCAGGAAUUACCAGGGAACUGCUCAGUGCUGCAGCACCAAACACCACUCACUGUGAAUUACCUAAUUCAGUGUCCUCAGCCACAGGCUAUCACACAGUGACCCCAAAAGGCUGCCUAGAUUCAAAGACAAGUUCUGCACAGUGGUCAUCAGCAUUUUGCAGACAGCUAAUAGCCGAAUGAGGGCUCCACUCUCCUGGAUAAUGUUCAAGGGAAACAGCACCAACCUUUGUCCCACACUGCCUCACUGGAGAGCUGAGGAUCCCUACUGGAGCCCUGUUCUUGGACUUGGCUCAAAGGUUCCAUCCAGCCACCAGUGAGACAAGCAGGGCACGAUGAGUUUUGCUGCCCAAAUUUCCUUGUGGCCCCCAAGGACAGCAUUCACCCAGCCACUCUUCAGUAAGCAACUGCUCUGCACCUUUCCCUUCCCAGCCACUGCUAUAGAUGAUCCGUUUCCUUCGAGUUUCACUGCUAAGUAAAGGAAUUUGAACGAUGUGACAUCUGUGCUUUUGUUUCAAGCAGGACUCAAAGAAAAGCCUGUUAAAUUCUCAUGCAUGUGACAGGUAAAAGCCUUUUCUAAAAUAGUAUCAACCUCCACAAAGUCUAGGCCUUUACAUUGACUGCAUUCAGACUUCAACAAGAGCUGUGACUGUGGGAAGCAUCCCUUCCCUUCCCAAGGACCCCGGGGACAUCAGCUCAAUCCCAGAGGUUCAGAAAUGCACAGAAGUUCCGACUGCCACUUCUGUCCCUUGAUGCCACAGGAAUGGCCAGGGGAGUUCUGCUCCUGAAUUAUCCCACCUUGGACCAUGAAAGGAACCACAAGACACCUAAAAAUGUCUGCUUUACUGCCUGUAUUCAACAAACACAUGGCUAAAGCUUAAAGACAAAAUCACGAGUAUUUUAAUUUGUUUGAUAAAAAAACGUUAAUUACAACAAAAAUCUACAAAUACACAGAACUACAUCUUAACCCACAAACAGUGAUGGCACACAGGUAUACUACCAAAAAAAUCACAAAAAGACAAAAACAAUGAAAAUAAGUAGCCACAGUUUCUACAUAAUGUAAACAAACAUAUCCCUCAACUAUAUUUUAUUUUCCACAGCAGUUUCUCUAAGAGAGGGCACACAAAGUAAGAAAGUCAGGACAUUUGUAAGCUUCUGUUUCAAACUGAUGUGAAAUCCACUUAGCUGCAGUGGAACAGAACAAAAAUACUUACAAAAGUCUGCUGAGAUCUAAAAUCCAAAGGAAAAAUCACAACAUAAAAUUAAAGGUGCUUUCCACCUUCUAUAAUGUUCUUUUAGUGGAUAGAAUAAUUUCAGAAUUCGCAUGCAGGCAGAAGAUCAAUGUACAGAUACCCAGAAGAUUGCUGUAGAUAUAAUGGUAAUUCAUGCUAACCUGGGAGGUGAAGGAAACACAAAAAAUCAGGGCUUUUCCAAAUAAAAAAAGACAACAUAGAGCAGCCAGUUGUUUAGCAUUCUUAAGUCUGGUCUGAGGCAAAAGCUCUAUUCGUACUGUAUAUUUGCAUUGGCCCCAUAAAACAUGAGUAAAAUAUCAAGAGUUACAUAAUAAAUUUCACACCUUGUUCUCAGAGUAGUUCAUAUUCUUGAAAUUUUUUUUCAUGGCUGUAGUUAAAAGUGAUUUAAAAUAUUAGUUCAAAGGGAUCUCUGGUAAGCUAGGAAAGGAAACAAAAUCAUGCACCAUCUUGUCUAGCAUUCUGACUACUUCGUCCAAAGCAUAAUGCCAAGGAUCUAAAGUUGUACUCUGGGACAAUCAAACCUCAAAUAUUUAAUAUCAACAAACUUCUACAGACAUGCAUAUGCACCACAGAUUACACAUAUAAACAGCUGGCCUUGCAGGAUAGCUUGUUGAGUUAAACACCACAUAACAAUGUCAUGAAGUACACUAACAUUACAGGAGUCAGCGUCAGACAUCAAAUUCUUGUAGUAUUAAAUUUUACAACUUCCUGUCAGCUGAGGUUUGCAGUAAGAAAUUAUGUAUUUAUCAGCACAGAAAUAUUUUUCAGAGAACACGAACUGGACAAUGUAUUAGAUAAUGUAAAUAGAGACAAGGCUAGCACUCGGCUCUGGAUAAAGAUGUAGAUAAUCGCACACUUGCCUCGAUUACCACACACAGUUCUAAAUUCAUUAAAUCAUUCAGAAUUGUACAGAUAGCGAAGAUGGCUCAGAGUGAAAUGGAGCUGCUUACUGCUCUGCCUUGACUCCUGGGUAUACCUUUGUCCUCAGAUGAGAUGAAGCAGUAACACUAACAGGGAAGGUGAAGGACAGCUCUUCUACAGGUGCUGCUCAGCCAGCUCAAAUGAAGAGUAAGAGAGGCUGAGUGCUCUCAGCAGUCCAAGGAAUAUUGGCAGGGUGGUGUCUCUUCCAGAUAUAGCACAAAGAUGGUUCAACGGCAGGAAACCUCUGUCCUGAAAGCACAAGGCUGUGGCCAUAUGGACACUGGUGGGACUAAGGCAGAGCCAGCAGUGCUCAAUCUGGCAGUGCUGGAUGGACAGUUAGGAGCCAGGCCCCAGAUGCAGGAACCUGUGCCAUGGCAUUUGUUGUGCUGGACAAGCAACCUGGCCACAGCCACUGGGAGGAUGAGCCAGAGCAGUUGCGUACAUGGGCAGAAAAGGACAUCGAAUCUCCUGUUCCUGGAUGGGCAUCCUCCGAUCUCCGUGAAGUCUCCCUACCUUUCCCAUAACCAAACAGAGGAUUUUAACAUACCACAAGUACAGGUAUAGAAUCCUACACCCAGGCACUGGAAACCAUUCAUACCUGUAUUUACUACUUCUAAAAGCUGCAGCCUGUCAUUCAGUCCCACUUCAGUGCUAUGUCAUCCUUUCACCUGGGUGCUGCAGUCAACAAGCACAACCUGGAACACCGUUGUCUGCACAGGGCCUAACAGCUCUGCUUGGGGCCAUAAGUGGAGUAUUCACAUACUCCCUCCAAUCUGAUAAAUGCCAAUCUAGCAGUACAGAAUUGCUACACAGAAUAUGUCUGCUGGUUCUUCAGUUAAGUGCUUCCAAGAAGACAGAACUCUGCUGUUUUUCAUGAAAAGUUAUUCUCAGAAUAAUGGGCCACACCAUUUCUGUUAUAAUGUCAUUUUCAACAGGACUGUUCAAUUUAAAUUUCUAAUCUCAUAGCCAGCCAAUAAUAUAUGUACAUGGAAAACAUCAACUGUCUAUCUCAUCAACUGUGUAUUUAUUUUGCCUGCCUACAUUGGAUAUAUGGUGAGACAGCUCUAGGUGAUUUUUAUGGAAAAAAGUUUUCAUAAAAAGUUGUGUAACAUUACUGUGUAAGCACUAUUUGAGACAGUCCCAGACCUGCAGAAUUACAGAUUAGUAAAACACCUUUACAGUCUGAACUUUACUCAGACUUCAGUCUUAAGCUCUCAUAAAAAAACACAAACGAAGAUCUACAUCAAGCUAUUCAAUUAAAAAUUAUAUUAGUUACACAGUGACAAAUUUAUUAGAGGUCUGCACACCACUUAAUUUAAAUGCUGGCUAACCAAAUUUUUACUCCAACAUAACUCCAUCAAUUAAAGGUGACAUUGUAAUUUUUUUAAUAUGUUUUUAACACUGCUUGUCAGAAUAGUAUUAACAGUAAGUAUAAAAUAUCUUUAUACCAAUAAGCAUACACCAGUAGAUCUUAAGACUCCCUCCUACACCCUUCCUAACACUGUAUCACUGCUACAGAAAAGUACUGCUUUAAAUUGUACAGGUGUAGUAGCUAAAGCUGUUACAACAUUUGAAUACGGAGAAAGCCUGGAAGUACUACUAUAAACUCUUCCCUCCAGUGCAUUAAGACACUGCAAGAAACCAAUGAGGGCCCCCUUAAUUAAACUGAAGGAAUAUAUUUUUCUUUUGUUUAGG